AAAACGGCUCUUUUCAGAGCCACCUAUUUAUACAAAGAGAUGAAGU
rfam:Ciona intestinalis ciona0176, whole genome shotgun sequence.